AGCGUUUGAAAAAAAAGCUAUACUUGAGAGUUUUUUUUAAUGCGACAAUAGGGAUUUCAUUGAAUUAGAAUUUUAGUUAUUAUUACCUAGUUUUUUAAUAGUUAUUUAUUAAUUAAUUUUUCUUAAUAUAUUUAGAAAAUUAAAGGGGUUAAUUUAUUAAGGAGAUUAAUUUUUAUUUUUUUUGAUUAAUUUUAAUUUAUAUUUUUAUAUUUCGAAAUAUCCCAGAAGAGCAGAUUAUGUAUUUAAAUUCGAAAAAUUGAUUUUUUAAUUUAAUAUUAAUAAUUUAUUUCUGUCUUUAGAAGAGCAGGUUGGUAAGUAUGUUCGAAAGUUAAUUUUUUGAUUACUAAUACGAUGGAAGCGUGUCAGUUUAAUGACGCCGGUAAUUUAGUUAGUANCCCGUCCAAUUUGGAAUUU
rnacentral:rRNA from 1 species